rnacentral:rRNA from 1 species
GAGUGAUAAAAUCCGUCGUCAAGAGGGAAACAACCCAGACUACCAGCUAAGGUCCCUAAGUCUUACUUAAGUGGAAAACGAUGUGAAGUUACUUAAACAACCAGGAGGUUGGCUUAGAAGCAGCCAUCCUUUAAAGAAAGCGUAAUAGCUCACUGGUCUAGUGAUUUUGCGCGGAAAAUAUAACGGGGCUAAAGUAAGUACCGAAGCUGUAGACUUAGUUUACUAAGUGGUAGGAGAGCGUUCUAUUUGCGUCGAAGGUAUACCGGUAAGGAGUGCUGGAGCGAAUAGAAGUGAGCAUGCAGGCAUGAGUAGCGAUAAUUAAUGUGAGAAUCAUUAACGCCGUAAACCCAAGGUUUCCUACGCGAUGCUCGUCAUCGUAGGGUUAGUCGGGUCCUAAGUCGAGUCCGAAAGGGGUAGACGAUGGCAAAUUGGUUAAUAUUCCAAUACCAACAUUAGUGUGCGAUGGAAGGACGCUUAGGGCUAAGGGGGCUAGCGGAUGGAAGUGCUAGUCUAAGGUCGUAGGAGGUUAUACAGGCAAAUCCGUAUAACAAUACUCCGAGAACUGAAAGGCUUUUUGAAGUCUUCGGAUGGAUAGAAGAACCCCUGAUGCCGUCGAGCCAAGAAAAGUUUCUAAGUUUAGCUAAUGUUGCCCGUACCGUAAACCGACACAGGUGGGUGGGAUGAGUAUUCUAAGGCGCGUGGAAGAACUCUCUUUAAGGAACUCUGCAAAAUAGCACCGUAUCUUCGGUAUAAGGUGUGGUUAGCUUUGUAUUAGGAUUUACUCCGAAAGCAAGGAAACUUACAACAAAGAGUCCCUCCCGACUGUUUACCAAAAACACAGCACUCUGCUAACUCGUAAGAGGAUGUAUAGGGUGUGACGCCUGCCCGGUGCUCGAAGGUUAAUUGAUGGGGUUAGCAUUAGCGAAGCUCUUGAUCGAAGCCCGAGUAAACGGCGGCCGUAACUAUAACGGUCCUAAGGUAGCGAAAUUCCUUGUCGGUUAAAUACCGACCUGCAUGAAUGGCGUAACGAGAUGGGAGCUGUCUCAAAGAGGGAUCCAGUGAAAUUGUAGUGGAGGUGAAAAUUCCUCCUACCCGCGGCAAGACGGAAAGACCCCGUGGACCUUUACUACAGCUUGACACUGCUACUUGGAUAAGAAUGUGCAGGAUAGGUGGGAGGCUUUGAGUAUAUGACGCCAGUUGUAUAUGAGCCAUUGUUGAGAUACCACUCUUUCUUAUUUGGGUAGCUAACCAGCUUGAGUUAUCCUCAAGUGGGACAAUGUCUGGUGGGUAGUUUGACUGGGGCGGUCGCCUCCCAAAUAAUAACGGAGGCUUACAAAGGUUGGCUCAGAACGGUUGGAAAUCGUUCGUAGAGUAUAAAGGUAUAAGCCAGCUUAACUGCAAGACAUACAAGUCAAGCAGAGACGAAAGUCGGUCUUAGUGAUCCGGUGGUUCUGUGUGGAAGGGCCAUCGCUCAAAGGAUAAAAGGUACCCCGGGGAUAACAGGCUGAUCUCCCCCAAGAGCUCACAUCGACGGGGAGGUUUGGCACCUCGAUGUCGGCUCAUCGCAUCCUGGGGCUGGAGCAGGUCCCAAGGGUAUGGCUGUUCGCCAUUUAAAGCGGUACGCGAGCUGGGUUCAGAACGUCGUGAGACAGUUCGGUCCCUAUCUGCCGUGGGCGUAAGAAGAUUGAAGAGAUUUGACCCUAGUACGAGAGGACCGGGUUGAACAAACCACUGGUGUAGCUGUUGUUCUGCCAAGAGCAUCGCAGCGUAGCUAAGUUUGGAAAGGAUAAACGCUGAAAGCAUCUAAGCGUGAAGCCAACUCUAAGAUGAAUCUUCUCUAAGCUCUCUAGAAGACUACUAGUUUGAUAGGCUGGGUGUGUAAUGGAUGAAAGUCCUUUAGCUGACCAGUACUAAUAGAGCGUUUGGCUUAUCUUUAAUAAAGCAU